rnacentral:rRNA from 1 species
AGUCACUGACAUUAGAUACCCCGGUAGUCCCAGCCGUAAACAAUGUGCGUUAGGUGUGUCGGUAACCACGCGUUACUGAUGCGCCGAAGAGAAAUCGUGAAACGCACCACCUGGGAAGUACGGUCGCAAGGCUGAAACUUAAAGGAAUUGGCGGGGAGCACCACAACAGGUGGAGCCUGCGGUUUAAUUGGAUUCAACGCCGGACAUCUCACCGGAUAAGACAGCUGAAUGAUUGUCAAUCUGAAGGUUUUACAUGACUAGCUG